rnacentral:rRNA from 1 species
GCAGGGCAACAACUGAUAAGAGGACCUACGAGUCAUGAGUUUCAAAACCUGGCUGUUGGGCUGCCGUAAAAAGCAGUCUAUAAGCAAGAGCUCAGGCAAGACCGGUGCCAAACCGCCGCGGUAACACCCGCGGCUACGAGUGGUAACCGAUAUUAUUGGGUCUAAAGGGUCUGUAGCCGGGCUGGUUAAGUCUCUUGAGGAAAUCUGAAUAAUAAGGGUCAGACUGGCAGCAGAUACUGACUGGCUUGGGACCGGGAGAGGUGAGAGGUACCUCAGGGGGUAGGGGUGAAAUCUUGUAAUCCUUGAGGGACCACCAGUGGCGAAGGCGUCUCACCAGAAGGGAUCCGACGGCAAGGGACGAAAGCUAGGGGCACGAACCGGAUUAGAUACCCGGGUAGUCCUAGCCGUAAACGAUACUCGCUAGGUGUCGGCCACGGUGCGACCGUGGUCGGUGCCGUAGGGAAGCCGUGAAGCGAGCCACCUGGGAAGUACGGCCGCAAGGCUGAAACUUAAAGGAAUUGGCGGGGGAG